rnacentral:rRNA from 1 species
UACGUAGGGUGCGAGCGUUGUCCGGAAUUAUUGGGCGUAAAGGGCUCGUAGGCGGUCUGUCGCGUCUGCUGUGAAAACUCGGGGCUUAACCCCGGGCCUGCAGUGGGUACGGGCAGACUAGAGUGCGGUAGGGGAGACUGGAAUUCCUGGUGUAGCGGUGAAAUGCGCAGAUAUCAGGAGGAACACCGGUGGCGAAGGCGGGUCUCUGGGCCGUAACUGACGCUGAGGAGCGAAAGCGUGGGGAGCGAACAGG